rnacentral:rRNA from 1 species
GACGAACCGUGCGAACGUUGUUCGGAAUUACUGGGCGUAAAGCGCACGUAGGCGGAUCUUUAAGUCAGGGGUGAAAUCCCAAGGCUCAACCUUGGAACUGCCUUUGAUACUGGGGAUCUCGAGUCCGGAAGAGGUGAGUGGAACUGCGAGUGUAGAGGUGAAAUUCGUAGAUAUUCGCAAGAACACCAGUGGCGAAGGCGGCUCACUGGUCCGGUACUGACGCUGAGGUGCGAAAGCGUGGGGAGCAAACAGG